GACGAACGCUGGCGGCAGGCCUAACACAUGCAAGUCGAGCGGACCUUUCGGGGUCAGCGGCGGACGGGUGAGUAACGCGUGGGAAUAUGCCCUUCUCUACGGAAUAGUCCUGGGAAACUGGGGGUAAUACCGUAUACGCCCUUUGGGGGAAAGAUUUAUCGGGGAAGGAUUAGCCCGCGUUGGAUUAGGUAGUUGGUGGGGUAAUGGCCUACCAAGCCGACGAUCCAUAGCUGGUUUGAGAGGAUGAUCAGCCACACUGAGACUGAGACACGGCCCAGACUCCUACGGGAGGCAGCAGUGGGGAAUCUUAGACAAUGGGGGCAACCCUGAUCUAGCCAUGCCGCGUGAGUGAUGAAGGCCUUAGGGUUGUAAAGCUCUUUCAGCUGGGAAGAUAAUGACGGUACCAGCAGAAGAAGCCCCGGCUAACUCCGUG
rnacentral:rRNA from 1 species